rnacentral:lncRNA from 1 species
CCUGGAAUUGCCUGGGAAGUUAUGCAACUCCUCUGCCCCUGGGAGUGGCCAGCAGCCAAUGACUGACAGACGCAGGGGCACGAAAGGACCCUUUGCCUCAAAGAAGGGGAGGCAACUCUGUGGUGCAAUCCAUGCUCCAGUGCUCCCUGUGGGAUCAGAUUGAGAUUAGGCUCCAGCUGAGACCACACCCUUAGUUUGCUUCUCUUUUUUUUUCCUUUCUCGUUUAUCAGUAAAUUACUUCCAAGUGAAUCCUCACUUUGGGCUCUGCUUCUAGACCCUGACUGAAGAAAGAAAGGAAGGAGAAAUGAACAAUGAACAAUUCCAGAGAUUUUGAGACAUGGCAAUUGGACUUUCUGUCAGGGUAAACGUCACCGGUUGGACCAUAUAUUAUGGGAGCACCUUUUGCAAGGAUGAAAUAUUCAGUCUGGGAAAGCUUGGGAGGAAGACAUACUCUACCAUACAGUCCUUUCCUCUUUUCGUGGAUGGCAAAAUGAUACAUCACUUCCCGAAGCUUGUGUUAGAAGAUGCCCCUUCACUGGUGUGAGAUGCUUAAAAGGACAAUGAUUUGUGCAGGGAACUAACCCCUUGUGCUACGUAUCCUUUUGCUCUAUUUUACUGAUAUGACAAUUGGAGCAGGAUAGUUUAUGUGGCAAAUUUUCCUAGCAUUUAUAUGCACUGCUUACUACAUUCACAUUUUAGUUUACAAAUCUUGACAAAGACAACCGAAUAGGAGUUUUACAUGAAUGUGCUUAUUUUGUAUUGAAGUAUGACACAUAUGCAGAGAAGUGACAUUGUCGUAAGCAAAUGGCUUGAUGGCUUUUACAAACUGAACAUAUAUGUAACCAACAUUGAGAUCUAGAAACAGCUCUUUUUCAGCCCCUUCUUCCUGAAACUCUCCUCUUCUUCCGCCUUGACCAAGUAUAAUCUCUCUCCUGACUUCUAGCAGAAUAGGUUAGUUUUGCUUAAUUUUAUUUUUAUACGAGGUGAAUCUCUAGUGUCUGGCUUCUUUUUCUGAAAGCUGUGUUUAUGGGAUUCAUCAAUAUCAUUGUAUGUGGUUAUAGAUUCCCAUUGCUGUGUAGUAGUUCAAUGGCAUGAAUAUACACUAAUCAUUUAUCCAUUCCACUGUUGAUGUGCAAUUGGACAAUUUCCAAUUUAGAGCUAUUAUGAAGAAUGCUGCUAGAGCCAUUCUAAUGCAUAUCUUCCAAUGAACACAUAUACACAGUUCUCUUGGGAAUAUGCCUAAGUGUGGAAUUGCUGGGUCAUAGAUGUACAUUUUUAAAAGUCACAGUAUUAGAGUCGAGUAUGCAGACUUGACUGAAUUCUAAAACCAAAAGCUAAUUUUUUGAAGUGUGAAGUUAUCUUUGGGGAAGGUGAAUAAUGUGAAGAAACAUAACAUUUUUAUUUAUGGCAAUAAAU